AAAUAAGAAGCAAAUUAAAUGCGUUUAGUUUCGACCUAAAAAUUUGACUAAUAGUCCUUAUUUU
rnacentral:tRNA from 1 species